rnacentral:rRNA from 1 species
AUUGAACGCUGGCGGCAUGCCUUACACAUGCAAGUCGAACGGCAGCGCGGGAGCAAUCCUGGCGGCGAGUGGCGAACGGGUGAGUAAUACAUCGGAACGUGCCCAAUCGUGGGGGAUAACGCAGCGAAAGCUGUGCUAAUACCGCAUACGAUCUACGGAUGAAAGCAGGGGAUCGCAAGACCUUGCGCGAAUGGAGCGGCCGAUGGCAGAUUAGGUAGUUGGUGAGGUAAAGGCUCACCAAGCCUUCGAUCUGUAGCUGGUCUGAGAGGACGACCAGCCACACUGGGACUGAGACACGGCCCAGACUCCUACGGGGGCAGCAGUGGGGAAUUUUGGACAAUGGGCGAAAGCCUGAUCCAGCCAUGCCGCGUGCAGGAUGAAGGCCUUCGGGUUGUAAACUGCUUUUGUACGGAACGAAACGGUCUUUUCUAAUAAAGAAGGCUAAUGACGGUACCGUAAGAAUAAGCACCGGCUAACUACGUG